rnacentral:rRNA from 1 species
CCAAUAGCGUAUAUUAAAGUUGUUGCAGUUAAAAAGCUCGUAGUUGAAUUUCGGGAUCAAUGUUUCGGUCAUGCCGUUGGUAUGUACUGAUAUUAUUGGUUUCUCACCUUCUAAAGAACCGUAAUGCCAUUAAUUUGGUGUCACGGGGAAUUAGGACUGUUACCUUGAAAAAAUUAGAGUGUUUAAAGCAGGCUCACGCUUGAAUACAUUAGCAUGGAAUAAUGAAAUAGGACAUCCGAUUCUAUUUUGUUGGUUUCUAGGAUCGAUGUAAUGAUUAAUAGGGAUAGUUGGGGGCAUUAGUAUUCAAUUGUCAGAGGUGAAAUUCUUGGAUUUAUUGAAGACUAACUACUGCGAAAGCAUUUGCCAAGGAUGUUUUCAUUAAUCAAGAACGAAAGUUAGGGGAUCGAAGACGAUCAGAUACCGUCGUAGUCUUAACCAUAAACUAUGCCGACUAGGGAUCGGAUGAUGUCAAUUUUUUAAUGACUCAUUCGGCGCCUUAC